GAUGAACGCUGGCGGCGUGCCUAAUACAUGCAAGUCGAGCGAACGGACGAGAAGCUUGCUUCUCUGAUGUUAGCGGCGGACGGGUGAGUAACACGUGGAUAACCUACCUAUAAGACUGGGAUAACUUCGGGAAACCGUAGCUAAUACCGGAUAAUAUUUUGAACCGCAUGGUUCAAAAGUGAAAGACGGUCUUGCUGUCACUUAUAGAUGGAUCCGCGCUGCAUUAGCUAGUUGGUAAGGUAACGGCUUACCAAGGCAACGAUGCAUAGCCGACCUGAGAGGGUGAUCGGCCACCCUGGAACUGAGACACGGUCCAGACGCCUACGGGAGGCAGCAGUAGGGAAUCUUCCGCAAUGGGCGAAAGCCUGACGGAGCAGCGCCGCGUGAGUGAUGAAGGUCUUCGGAUCGUAAAACUCUGUUAUUAGGGAAGAACAUAUGUGUAAGUAACUGUGCACAUCUUGACGGUACCUAAUCAGAAAGCCACGGCUAACUACGUG
rnacentral:rRNA from 1 species